CCUACGGGGGGCAGCAGUGGGGAAUAUUGGACAAUGGGCGAAAGCCUGAUCCAGCCAUGCCGCGUGUGUGAAGAAGGCCUUCGGGUUGUAAAGCACUUUCAGUGGGGAAGAAAGCCUUGGGGCUAAUACCCUCGAGGAAGGACAUCACCCACAGAAGAAGCACCGGCUAACUCCGUGCCAGCAGCCGCGGUAAUACGGAGGGUGCGAGCGUUAAUCGGAAUUACUGGGCGUAAAGCGCGCGUAGGCGGUCUGAUAAGCCGGUUGUGAAAGCCCCGGGCUCAACCUGGGAACGGCAUCCGGAACGGUCAGGCUAGAGUGCAGGAGAGGAAGGUAGAAUUCCCGGUGUAGCGGUGAAAUGCGUAGAGAUCGGGAGGAAUACCAGUGGCGAAGGCGGCCUUCUGGACUGACACUGACGCGGAGGUGCGAAAGCGUGGGUAGCAAACAGGAUUAGAUACCCCUGUAGUC
rnacentral:rRNA from 1 species